UGAGGAAGAUAAUGACGGUACUCAACAAGGAAGUGACGGCUAACUACGUGCCAGCAGCCGCGGUAAAACGUAGGUCACAAGCGUUGUCCGGAAUUACUGGGUGUAAAGGGAGCGCAGGCGGGAAGACAAGUUGGAAGUGAAAUCUAUGGGCUCAACCCAUAAACUGCUUUCAAAACUGUUUUUCUUGAGUAGUGCAGAGGUAGGCGGAAUUCCCGGUGUAGCGGUGGAAUGCGUAGAUAUCGGGAGGAACACCAGUGGCGAAGGCGGCCUACUGGGCACCAACUGACGCUGAGGCUCGAAAGUGUGGGUAGCAAACAGGAUUAGAUACCCUGGUAGUCCACACCGUAAACGAUGAUUACUAGGUGUUGGAGGAUUGACCCCUUCAGUGCCGCAGUUAACACAAUAAGUAAUCCACCUGGGGAGUACGACCGCAAGGUUGAAACUCAAAGGAAUUGACGGGGGCCCGCACAAGCAGUGGAGUAUGUGGUUUAAUUCGACGCAACGCGAAGAACCUUACCAAGUCUUGACAUCCCUUGACGAACAUAGAAAUAUGUUUUCUCUUCGGAGCAAGGAGACAGGUGGUGCAUGGUUGUCGUCAGCUCGUGUCGUGAGAUGUUGGGUUAAGUCCCGCAACGAGCGCAACCCUUAUGGUCAGUUACUACGCAAGAGGACUCUGGCCGGA
rnacentral:rRNA from 1 species